AUGUAACCUGAGUUUCUUAGCCACAGGGUCAUACCAGAGGAUUGUGGGUGUGACACAUUUGCCACAGCGAACAACAAGCCGCUGCAUAAGGCAGGUUGUGGAAGCUAUAAAUUCCAAUUACAUGCUAGGUAAAUGGAUUAAGUUCCCUCAAACACACCAGGAAAGGUCGGUAUUAAGACAAGAAUUUCAAAGAAGAUACCAUGUACCUGGAUUUAUAGAUUUUAAUAGGAUGUAGAGAUUGCACCCACAUUGCAAUAGUGAAGCCUGAUGAAGAAGAACAUAUUUAUUUUAACGGAAAAGGAUACCACUCUAUAAAUGUACAAAUGAUUUAUAAUUUAAAUAUUUUAAAUGUGAAUGCAAGAUUUGGAGGAGCUACGCAUGAUUCUUUUAUUUGGGCGUCAAGUCAAGUUUAAGGGUUUAUGCGUGGCCUUCAUCAAAAUGGUGAACAAACGUGGUUAUUAGGUGAUGCUGGAUAUCCACAGAGAGCCUGGCUUAUGACACCUAUAUUAGAUGCUGCACCAGGCUCUCGAGAAGCAAUGUAUACUGCACGUCACAUUCAAGCAAGGAACUGCUUUGAGCGUUGUUAUGGUUUGCUUAAGCACCGUACACUGCAUUAUCAUCCUCAUGUUGCUAGCAAAAUAGUAUAUGCAUGUUGUGUAUUGCACAACAUUGCAUUGAAUGCGCAGUUACCUGCACCAAGUGGAAUUGCAGGGCAACCAGAUGAUGAUAAUGUUGCUGUACCAAUAGGCUCUUCCAUUCUUAGCAACCAAGAUGACUUAAUGCGAGGCAGAGAAAAAGAGAUCAGUGCCUUAAUUAAUAGAUUAAAAUAAUUGUAAAUAUUAAUUAAUAGAAUAAGUUUCAGUGUAAACUCACAAAGGAGAAUUAACAGAAGUGGUUAUAAUGAUUCAGUAUUCAGUAGACAAUUUUACUUAGUAUAUUACUAGCUGACCCGGUAAACUUCGUGUCACUUUAAAAC